GCAACUAGAGUAUUUGGAGUUUACAUGUUCAAGUGAAGCUUCUAGUUCAAGAAGAGGCUUUGAAGGGAAUAAAGAAGAAGUCACAAGUGUGGAUGUUAACACGUGCGAACGUUUGUUAGAUUCAGCUCAUCACUUAAUACAAGAGCAGAGAGGUGAGCUUAAUGAUGGAUAAAUUCUUAUUCUCAAUUUUGGGUUCUUGGUGAGAGUUAGAGAGAGAGAAGUGAGAGAGAGUGAUUCUCUGGGUUUUGCUCCUUGUUCUUUAUCUUCUUCUUCAUCUUCUUAGAGAGAGAUUUGUAGACGAGAGUUGGUGAGAGAUCU